AGGGUUUCUUCGUCCGAGUUGGAGUUCGCGUCUGCUAGUUAGAGACUUGGAGUUCCAGUUCGCGUCUGCAGGCCUGCUAGUUGGAGUUCCAGUUCGCGUCUUCGUUCAAUCGUUCGACGAUUGGAGUUCGCUGUUGGCUUUUCGCGUCUUCUACUCUUCCGGUCUUCGACUCUUCGCUAGACCCAAUUCACCCAAAUCACCAAAUGGUAGCUUGAUACUAAUCAAUGAGCUAGAGUGCUAUUUAUUUCCUCUAAUACGAGCAGUUUGGAACGGAGCCUAACCUUUAAUUUGACCAAUUGGUAAGUGAUGCUUAAUAUAAUAUUCUCAUAGCCUCUUUCAAAGUUGAUUAAUUUGCUUAGUAUUAUAUUGUGAUUCUUUUGUGAGGUAAUCUGCUUAAGAUUUGCUUCAAGGAUGAUGGACACCCUGGUUUGUUUUUCUAAUUGUCAUCACUCAGCUUCUCUAGCUUGGUUUAAUACAGGGUGUACAAGUACAUUGAAGAAGAUAUAUAUUAAAGACAAAAACGAAGAGUUGAUCUACUAGCAUCUCUUUGAGGGUUACAUCCCUUCCCCCAUGUACAGAAUUAGAUAUAAACAAAUAUACAUUUAGUGUUAUUAGAAAUUUACUAGCUUAGAUUGUGAAUUGCAAGUUAUUUAGUAUUUUUAUGAGUAUUUGUAGUAAAAUUUUAUUGGAUAUUGUUUUUUGGAUUUUAAUGAGUGACAUGAAUUUUGUUAUAAAAUCAAGUUUCUUCUACAUUGAUGUUCAGCUUCCUAUUAAACCGAUUAUUGUGUAUUGUUGAGUUCACAUGUUUAAUCAUCUUUGCUCAUUUAAUUAUAAUUUUAUAUAUAAUCGCUUUAAUGGUGUUG